GACGAACGCUGGCGGCGUGCUUAACACAUGCAAGUCGAACGGAAAGGCCCUGCUUUUGUGGGGGGCUCGAGUGGCGAACGGGUGAGUAACACGUGAGUAACCUGCCCUUGACUUUGGGAUAACUUCAGGAAACUGGGGCUAAUACCGGAUAGGAGCUCCUGCUGCAUGGUGGGGGUUGGAAAGUUUCGGCGGUUGGGGAUGGACUCGCGGCUUAUCAGCUUGUUGGUGGGGUAGUGGCUUACCAAGGCUUUGACGGGUAGCCGGCCUGAGAGGGUGACCGGCCGCAUUGGGACUGAGAUACGGCCCAGACUCCUACGGGAGGCAGCAGUGGGGAAUAUUGCACAAUGGGCGGAAGCCUGAUGCAGCAACGCCGCGUGCGGGAUGACGGCCUUCGGGUUGUAAACCGCUUUCGCCUGUGACGAAGCGUGAGUGACGGUAAUGGGUAAAGAAGCACCGGCUAACUACGUG
rnacentral:rRNA from 1 species